rnacentral:rRNA from 1 species
CCUACGGGUGGCAGCAGUGGGGAAUAUUGGACAAUGGGGGAAACCCUGAUCCAGCGACGCCGCGUGAGUGAAGAAGUAUUUCGGUACGUAAAGCUCUAUCAGCAGGAAAGAAAAUGACGGUACCUGACUAAGAACCCCCUGCUAACUACGAGCCAGCAACCGCGGUAAUACGUAGGGGGCAAGCGUUAUCCGGAUUUACGGGGGGUAACGGGAGCGUAGGCGGCUGCGCAAGUCUGGAGUGAAAGGCCGGGGCUGAACCCCGGAGCGGCACUGGAAACUGUGAAGCUGGAGUGCAGGAGAGGUAAGUGGAAUUCCUGGUGUAGCGGUGAAAUGCGCAGAGAUCAGGAGGAACACCAGCGGCGAAGGCGGCUUACUGGUCUGUAACUGACGUUGAGGCGCGAAGGCGUGGGGAGCAAACAGGAUUAGAUACCCCAGUAGUC